GUAAGGAAUAUUGGUCAAUGGAGGCAACUCUGAACCAGCCAUGCCGCGUGCAGGAAGACGGCCCUCUGGGUUGUAAACUGCUUUUAUCCGGGAAUAAACCUGCCUUCGUGAAGGUAGCUGAAUGUACCGGAAGAAUAAGGAUCGGCUAACUCCGUGCCAGCAGCCGCGGUAAUACGGAGGAUCCAAGCGUUAUCCGGAUUUAUUGGGUUUAAAGGGUGCGUAGGCGGCCUGUUAAGUCAGGGGUGAAAGACGGUGGCUCAACCAUCGCAGUGCCCUUGAUACUGAUGGGCUUGAAUGGACUAGAGGUAGGCGGAAUGUGACAAGUAGCGGUGAAAUGCAUAGAUAUGUCACAGAACACCGAUUGCGAAGGCAGCUUACUAUGGUCCUAUUGACGCUGAGGCACGAAAGCGUGGGGAUCGAACAGGAUUAGAUACCCCGGUAGUCC
rnacentral:rRNA from 1 species